AAUAGUAAUAAUAUUGAGAAGAUUUAGUUGGCGGUGGAGCAUAUGAAAACUCCAUAGUUAAGCAUGUUUAAGUGGGAGAAGUACUAGAAUGGGUGACCUCUUAGGAAGUCUUCACCGGGGCAACCA
rfam:Helianthus annuus linkage group 17, whole genome shotgun sequence.